CAGCAGAGACACUGAACCAGCAGCACCAGCUCUUUGAGGAGUGCCAGGGCCCCUGUCGCCAGGCACUUGGCCCUGACCAGCCCUGGGCCACAGGGACACUGCUCAGCUACCUCAAGAUCUACAAGGAGCCCAUGUCCACCCCCAAGAACACAAAGAGCUGUGUGCUGGUGACCAUGGGGCUGAUGGGUGCAGUGACCCGGCAUCACUCUGGCAUCGAUCCAGCAUCGAUUCAGCAUUGAUCCAGCAUUGAUCUGGCAUAUAUCCAGCAUCACAGAAUCACAGAAUGAUUUAGGUUGGAAAAGACCUCCAAGACCAUCGAGUCCACCCUGUGCCUGAUCCCCCUCUUGUCACCCAGACUGCAGCACUGAGUGCCACAUCCAGUCAUUUCUUGAACACCUCCAGGGAUGGGGACUCCACCACCUCCCUAGGCAGCCCCUUCCAAUGUCUGACCACCCUUUCCAUGAAUAAAUUCUUCCUGAUGUCCAGCCUGACCCUCCCCUGGCACACUUGAGGCUGUUUUCUCUUGUUCUAUCCCUUGUUCCCUGGGAGCAGAGCCCAACCCCUCCCUCCUCCUCCUGUCAGGGAGUUGGAGAGAAUGAGAGUCUCUCUGACCCUUCUUUUCUCCAGGCUGAGACCCCCAGCUCCCUCAGCUGCUCCUGGUGCUCCAGACACUUCCCCAUCUCUGUUCCCUUCCCUGGACACGCUCCAGCCCCUCAGUGUCCUGUACUGGGGACCCCAUACCUGCCCCCAGGACUGGAGGUGCCUCAGCAGUGCCAGCACAGGGGACAGGCUCUGCCCUGGGCCUGUGGCCACACUGUGCCUGCUACAAGCCAGGAGCCACUGGCUUCUUACCCACCUGGGCACACCCGAGCUCAUGUUCAGCCCCUGUCACCAGCACCCCCAGGAACUUUUCCAGCUUUCCAACCACUCUACCCUAAGCCUGGAGCAUUCCAUGGGGUUGUGAUCCAAGGGCAGGACCCAGCACUGGUCUCUGGGCAAUCUGUGCCAGGGCCUCACGACCUUCACAGGGAAGAAUUUCUUCCCAAUAUCCCAUUUAAUCCUGCCCUCUGUCCAU